GACGAACCGUGCGAACGUUGUUCGGAAUCACUGGGCUUAAAGGGCACGUAGGCGGCCGCCUAAGUCAGACGUGAAAUCCCUCGGCUCAACCGGGGAACUGCGUCUGAUACUGGGUGGCUUGAAUCCGGGAGAGGGAUGCGGAAUUCCAGGUGUAGCGGUGAAAUGCGUAGAUAUCUGGAGGAACACCGGUGGCGAAGGCGGCAUCCUGGACCGGCAUUGACGCUGAGGCGCGAAAGCCAGGGGAGCAAACGGG
rnacentral:rRNA from 1 species